rnacentral:misc_RNA from 1 species
GAACUGCGAUAAGUAAUGUGAAUUGCAGAAUUCAGUGAAUCAUCGAGUCUUUGAACGCACAUUGCGCCCCCUGGCAUUCCGGGGGGCAUGCCUGUCCGAGCGUCAUUGCUGCCCUUCAAGCCCGGCUUGUGUGUUGGGUCGUCGUCCCCUCCGGGGGACGGGCCCGAAAGGCAGCGGCGGCACCGCGUCCGGUCCUUGAGCGUAUGGGGCUUUGUCACCCGCUCGAUAAGGACCGGCCGGGCGCCAGCCGGCGUCUCCAACCUUUUUUUCUCAGGUUGACCUCGGAUCAGGUAGGGAUACCCGCUGAACUUAAGC